GAUUUGUGUUUUUGUCUGUUUCACUGCUGUAUCCCCAGCACCUAGGGCACUGCUGGGCACAAGGUAGGUUAAGUCCGCAAUAUAUAUUUAUUAACAGAACAAAUAAAUGAGUAUCAACCUUCGCCAAUAGUGUUACCACAGGUGAAGGGCACAAUGAAAAUGCUUGAGUGGCUUCUUCUAGUGCAGAAGUGUCCUUGAACGUAUAACCCAUCCCCGUGGACACACUGUGCUGUGUGUGCCCGUCGUGUCCUGUACCCGCUGCCCCAGGACAGGAGCUGCAACCCCUGAGCUCACAGACCUUGCUGAUCCUUUAUGAACCAAUAUGCACCCUCAGAAGGGCACGGUUGACAAAAUAUGUGCUGCUGUUAGGUGUCUAUUCAUUGUCAAAUACUCAAAAGUAGCUAUGAAUUCUAAAAGAAAAUCUGCUUAGAGAGGAACUAGCAAGACAUCUUUGCUCAGGAGUGAGGCCUAUAAGGAAAAAUCGAAUAUCCCGCUCUAAAAACUAGAAACAAGCCUUGCGUGAAAAUGCUUUGUGAUGUGCUGUUUCAUAUCACAGAAUGGAACCUGUGUUUUGAUUCCAAGGUUCGCAACACUCUACAAAGCUUAAAUUUUCUCUGCUGCUUUCUUUGUAGAAAAAACAAAGGCUGCUUUUCCAAGCCUUUGUGAUCAUGGCCCUCUAUUACUGUGAGGCGUGCACACGUAUGUUACUGGAUAUUUAUGUUAUGUAGUGGUCUGAAGUCAGAGAGCUUCAGUCUGGCCACUUAGUGGGUGACUACGGAGCUGAGCAUCAGUUUUGCUAACCUAAUAAAUGAGAAUAACCAUGGCACUUACCUUAUCAGAAUAACAGCUCCUCUUGUGUGAGCUGUUGACCAGGAGGGCACACUCAGGAGCUGCUGGGGCUCUGGGCAUGCUCUAGAUCUUGACCUGGGCAAUGGUUAUGCAGGGCGUGCAUAGGAGAGAAGUCAUCAAGCUGAGCCUGUAAGUUCUGUGUUCUUUACUGUAUGUAAAUUAUACCUCAGUAACAAGGAAAAAUUAAUUCUUACUUCUGGAGGUUGUGAAGAUGGAAUAGAAAGAACGUAAACUAUGCCUUACGGAAAAAGUUUUAAAAUGACUAUACAGUGUGAAUGUGUCCAUGUAUGAAUGUAUGAGCUUCUGUGUGGUUGGUGUGAGAUUAUGUGACCCUGUGGGUGUGAUGUGUCUGCGUAUGAACUAAGGUAACGGUAAUGAGUGUGCACCUGGGUGUCAGUAUGUGGAUGCACAUGUAUUGCAUGUGCCUAUGUCCCCAUGUGAGGAGUGCACAGAACUGCACAGGUAUGCUGGAUUACAUGCUUGUGAAUGGCUGUGUGCAUGUGCAGGUAUGUGGAGGCUUCUGUGCUCUGAAACCACACGUUCUACACAAGACAGAGCCUGAAUCUCAAGCCAGUGGUUCUGGGACCCAGCUGUGCUCCUCACAUGAAGUAAAGUAGGGGCUGGCUAGCAGCAGGGUGUGCUCCCCGCCUCCCCCUCACCCAGAAGGAAGCAGGAGACUGAAGGCCUGGAUAAAGGUUCCCAGCUCCCUCUCCCUUCCCACAGCUGCAACUUCUCAAAGAUGCAAAUUACCCUCUGCUCCAUGGAAACCAGUCCUGAGAGCCAAGGUUGCUUCCCCUCAGGCCCAACCACUACCACUAUGAUUGGACCCCACUGGACCCUAGCUGCCCAGCCUAGGGAUGGGAGCCAGCUGGAGUCAGUUCCUGUUUCCCAACCAGUCACUGAUGUUUUUCCCCCUGGGGUGCCUUGGCUCUCCCUGCUGGCUCAGGUGUUGUGGAGAAAGCCUGGGCUAGGAGUGGUCCACAUAGACUGUGGGACUCUGGGGAAGGUAAUGCUGUCUCAUCUUUGGGGAUGCUCUGAAUAGCGACUGUACUAUCCCAAAACACUGGAGCAAGGCCUGGCUCUCCCAGACCCUCCUGCCUGGCAUAUUUGCUGUGGGGCUCACUCACAGGACCCUUAGCCUACCUGGAUUCCCUAUUGGUGCUCACUUUUCCCAUCUCCUAGGUCCUGUCUCCCCAUCAGGGACAUGUGUCUUCAUCAGCCCUGGAUGACGUACAUCACGGGGCCCAGCAGCGGUUCAGCA
rnacentral:lncRNA from 10 species